rnacentral:lncRNA from 1 species
AGACGAGGGCGUGAAGGGGCCGGCGAGAAGGAAAAGGGGUGCGAAGGCACCAGAUCCGCCGCCCCUACGCUGCCUUUCCCCACCACCACACAAGAUUCGCAGCGUCCCUGCCCCCAAUUUAAGCAGACGAUUUAGUCGCGGAGGAGACGGAGGAAAUCAAAGCAAUUAAUAGGUGAACUCUGGCCCAUCCCUUGCUCCGAUUCGCGGUAGGCAGCGGCAAUAGCUGCGUCUCAUCUUCAAGCAGCAGCAGCUCCGAUUCGCGGCGGCGGCGGCGGCGUCAAUUCCAGGAGAGAGAAAGUGGAGAGAGAGAGAAGAGCGAGAGAGACAACACACAUGAAAAACGACGUCGUUUUAUCACACCUAAACGGCGUCGUUUUAUUAAUCGUCCGGCAAUUCCACGUCAUUUUUCCAGUAACUUAAAAUGUGCCAUGUCAGCUUUGAAUUUGGGGAUUUUAGAAAUCAUGGAAAAAUUGUUCAAGUCCUUAAGUUCAUGGAAAAUUGGAUAAAAAAAAAUAGUUCAUGGAAAGUUUGGAAAUCGGCC